rnacentral:lncRNA from 1 species
AUUUUUGGUGCAUUGAAUUGUUGUUUAUUUAAAAAUCAUUUUGAGGAAGAGGUGUUUGGGAAUUUCAAAAUCUUUGAGAAAGGAGAUGAUUGAGAAUCGUUUUUUUUGGAGAGAAAGUUUUUUUUAAGAUUGUUUAAACGGGUUUUAUCUUCACAAUCAUAUUAAGUUAAAUUCAUAUUAAUUAUCGUCUUUAGUCCACUAUUUAUUAUUUUGACGAUAAUUUAUUAUAUGAUUUCUUAUUGGCCUUUUUGCAUAAAAAAUCCACUUAUUUUGGGCUUUUGCAAAAUCGGGUCACUUUUUUCGUUUUUGCAGAUUCGGUCCGUUUUUUCAAUAAACUGACCAAAAUACCCUUAUUACUUUUUCUCUUUCCUCUUUCUCUCUCCUCUUCGUUUCUUCCGUUAUUUUUUUUUUUCGUUCUUUUUUCGA